GGGCGCAAGCCUGAUGCAGCGACGCCGCGUGAGGGAUGGAGGCCUUCGGGUUGUAAACCUCUUUUGUUAGGGAGCAAGGCACUUUGUGUUGAGUGUACCUUUCGAAUAAGCACCGGCUAACUACGUGCCAGCAGCCGCGGUAAUACGUAGGGUGCAAGCGUUAUCCGGAAUUAUUGGGCGUAAAGGGCUCGUAGGCGGUUCGUCGCGUCCGGUGUGAAAGUCCAUCGCUUAACGGUGGAUCCGCGCCGGGUACGGGCGGGCUUGAGUGCGGUAGGGGAGACUGGAAUUCCCGGUGUAACGGUGGAAUGUGUAGAUAUCGGGAAGAACACC
rnacentral:rRNA from 1 species